rnacentral:tRNA from 1 species
GAGGGUAGAGCUCAGUGGUAGAGUGCAUGCUUAGCACCCAUGAGGACCUGGGUUCAAUCUCCAGUACCUCCA